rnacentral:rRNA from 1 species
GAUGAACGCUGGCGGCGUGCUUAACACAUGCAAGUCGAACGAUGAAGCCCAGCUUGCUGGGUGGAUUAGUGGCGAACGGGUGAGUAACACGUGAGUAACCUGCCCUUAACUCUGGGAUAAGCCUGGGAAACUGGGUCUAAUAUCGGAUAGGAGCGUCCACCGCAUGGUGGGUGUUGGAAAGAUUUAUCGGUUUUGGAUGGACUCGCGGCCUAUCAGCUUCUUGGUGAGGUAAUGGCUCACCAAGGCGACGACGGGUAGCCGGCCUGAGAGGGUGACCGGCCACACUGGGACUGAGACACGGCCCAGACUCCUACGGGAGGCAGCAGUGGGGAAUAUUGCACAAUGGGCGCAAGCCUGAUGCAGCGACGCCGCGUGAGGGAUGACGGCCUUCGGGUUGUAAACCUCUUUCAGUAGGGAAGAAGCGAAAGUGACGGUACCUGCAGAAGAAGCACCGGCUAACUACGUG